CUCCCUACAUUCUGCUCACCGGAAACAAGGGAUUCACGCAAACAAUGGUGAAGCCAAAAACUUGAGGCACACUGACUGCUUCUUUGGACAAGAACAGAAUGGGGCACUGCUCACUAAUGCAACUGAACUAUUCACAGAGCCUAGAUUUGUGCUCGAACUCUUUAAUUUGAUAGUGUCACUUGCAUCACAGGCGUUAAAAGUACCUUUCUACAUGUAUACAUGUAUUUGAAAAAUGUAGUGGAAAAGCAUAAUAAAAAAGGAUUUCUAAAUGUUA